GUGACUGUACCCACCACUGGCUCUCUACUGCCACUCAUCUUGGGGCUGCUGAUCCAGGCUGUAGCAGUGAGCACCGUCACGCGCCCCUACAAGGGCCUAGAUUCUCAACUAGACAGAACAUGUGCCCACCAAGGUGGGAAUCCUGCAUGAUGUUGGAGUCACUCUUGGUCAUCUCCCUGUUCCCAGUUUGGUGAUAAUAUCUCAGAUAUUAUCAACUAAAUCUGUGAAAAGAAGGGAAGGAAAGGCGGAGAUGCAAACCUGAGCAGAGGGGAGUCAUCUGUCAUCUGAGUUCCCAUGGUAAGAAUGAUUGCAGAGCAAAGAUGACCAAUUGCCCGAAGAGCAUCAAAAGCAACAGCAGUAGUAAAAUCCAUUUCAGUCCAGAAAAGUACUGGCUCAGUGAACGCUCACGUGAUUUUGUUAUGUGGCUUGGAUAAAUGGAAAUACAGUGACAUUGUCAACUGAAAUAUUGAGUUUUGAAGGUUGAGAAAUCCAAGAUUGAUGAGCUGCAUCUUAAUGAGGAUCUUCUUGCUGCAUUGUAGCAUAGCAGAAGACUUUGGAGAAAAAUCAGAAAACACAGCAAAGGAGAAGAAGGCCAAUCCCCCAUCAGUUACAACCACUCACUCCAAUGACAACUAACUUACUCCCAUGAUUAAGACUUUAGUCUAUUUAAAAGGGUGAUGGUCCCAGGACCUAAUUAUCUCUUUAAGUUCCUAUUUCUUAAUGUUUUUAUGAUGGCAGUUAAAUUGCAACUUGGUUUUAGGUGGACAUUCAAAACAAAGCAAUGGUGAAUUAGAUA